UACAGAGGGUGCAAGCGUUAAUCGGAAUUACUGGGCGUAAAGGGUGCGUAGGUGGUUAAUUAAGUCAGAUGUGAAAUCCCAAGGCUUAACCUUGGACUGGCAUUUGAAACUGAUUAGCUAGAGUACAGAAGAGGGAAGUGGAAUUUCCGGUGUAGCGGUGAAAUGCGUAGAUAUCGGAAGGAACAUCAGUGGCGAAGGCGACUUCCUGGUCUGUUACUGACACUGAGGCACGAAAGCGUGGGGAGCGAACAGG
rnacentral:rRNA from 1 species